rnacentral:lncRNA from 1 species
GCCGGCCGACGGUACAGCCGGCAUGAGGCGGCCGUCGACAGGAGGGGGGUGACUCACCGAUAAGAAGAGGGCCAAACCGGUGGUCGGCGGUGACCACCGACGUCGGUAAUCCAAAAAAAAUGAUAAAAAAAUGAGAGUUACUUCCGCAACAAAAUCCGGCGACUUCGGUCACCAGCAAGCGUGCACAUCGGCACGGGAAGGAAGAGGGAGAAGAGAAGAAGGGGAGGAGGCUUACCUCCGUCGCCGGCGAAGCUUUUCCGGCG